rnacentral:tRNA from 1 species
GGCUGCACGGUUAGGUAUCAGGCUUUCCCCCGAACCCUGGUGGUAUGAAGGUUCGACUCCUUCACGGCCCA